rnacentral:rRNA from 1 species
UGGCUCAGGACGAACGCUGGCGGCGUGCUUAACACAUGCAAGUCGAACGGUGAACCUCUUCGGAGGGGAUCAGUGGCGAACGGGUGAGUAACACGUGGGCAACCUGCCCCCGGCUCUGGGAUAACUCCAAGAAAUUGGGGCUAAUACCGGAUGGUCACCGCGCACCGCAUGGUGGGUGGUGGAAAGGGUUUCCGGCUGGGGAUGGGCCCGCGGCCUAUCAGCUUGUUGGUGGGGUAGUGGCCUACCAAGGCGACGACGGGUAGCCGGCCUGAGAGGGUGACCGGCCACACUGGGACUGAGACACGGCCCAGACUCCUACGGGAGGCAGCAGUGGGGAAUAUUGCGCAAUGGGCGGAAGCCUGACGCAGCGACGCCGCGUGGGGGAUGACGGCCUUCGGGUUGUAAACCUCUUUCAGCAGGGACGAAGCGCAAGUGACGGUA